CACACCACAGACCUCCACAUCAAUAAAACCAGCGGUUUUCAUGUUACUCCAGGGUCCUGUCUUCAGAAAGUAACACAGCCGCUCCCUUCAACAGCUGUGCAAAUGGCACAGUGGCACCUGUUUCCGGUUCCUUCCACACUCCUCUGAGUGUGGUGUGUCUCGUGUCUUUUCACAGUGCUCCAAGGCUGCUGUGGUCACUGCAGUGUGAAGGAGUCUGUUGCCCACCUCAGUCUGCAGGUUGUUGAACUUAUCAGGAUUGCAUGCUCAAUGAAACUCUGUUUCCUGGAGUCUGAACACCUCAGAGGUGACCAGUGUCUCUUCUUGAUUGACUGAGGUAUUUACUUGUUUCUGCUGUUCAUUCCAUGAAGGACCAGCCUGCCUACCAGUGUGUCAUUGUGGCUAGCCAGCCAAGGGAUUUUCCUGCUCCGUUUGGGUAGGAAGAGAACUUCAUUUUCCCUUAUACAUCUUCUGUGAAUCACUUGAGUCCUUGGAAUGGUCCUUCUGAAGUAUGGCAAGUGAAGAAUUGAUCCAAACCCUGGGUAGAGGGGAAAGAUACAGAUGCCAAGGACUGAUGUUGAAACUGAAGCUCCAAUACUUUGACCACCUGAUGUGAAGAGCCAAUGCAUUGGAAAAGACCCUGAUGCUGGGAAGGAUUGAAGGCGGGAGGAGAAGGGGAUGACAGAAGAUGAGAUGGUUGGAUGGCAUCACCGACUCUAUGGACAUGAGUUUGAGCAAGCUCUGGGAGGUACUGAAGGACAAGGAGGCCUGGCGUGCUGCAGUUCAUGAGAUUGUGAAGAGUCGGAUACGACUAAGUGACUGAACAACAAGAUGC
ensembl:lncRNA